CGGCAACAGCUCAAAUUUGAAAUCUGGCGGUGUAUUCCGUCCGAGUUGUAAUUUGUAGAGGAUACUUUUGAUGCGGUGCCUUCCGAGUUCCCUGGAACGGGACGCCAUAGAGGGUGAGAGCCCCGUCUGGUUGGAUGCCAAAUCUCUGUAAAGUUCCUUC
rnacentral:rRNA from 1 species